NNNGGUGUAGCUCAGGGGUAGAGCACGACCUUGCCAAGGUCGGGGUCGAGGGUUCGAAUCCCUUCGCCCGCU
rnacentral:tRNA from 1 species